UACGGGGGGGGCAAGCGUUGUUCGGAAUUACUGGGCGUAAAGGGCUUGUAGGUGGCCAACUAAGUCAGACGUGAAAUCCCUCGGCUUAACCGGGGAACUGCGUCUGAUACUGGAUGGCUUGAGUGUGGGAGAGGGAUGCGGAAUUCCAGGUGUAGCGGUGAAAUGCGUAGAUAUCUGGAGGAACACCGGUGGCGAAGGCGGCAUCCUGGACCGGCAUUGACGCUGAGGCGCGAAAGCGUGGGGAGCAAACAGG
rnacentral:rRNA from 1 species